rnacentral:rRNA from 1 species
UACGGAGGCAGCAGUAGGGAAUAUUGCUCAAUGGGGGAAACCCUGAAGCAGCAACGCCGCGUGGAGGAUGACACUUUUCGGAGCGUAAACUCCUUUUGUUAGGGAAGAACAAUGACGGUACCUAACGAAUAAGCACCGGCUAACUCCGUGCCAGCAGCCGCGGUAAU